rnacentral:rRNA from 1 species
GCAUAUCAAUAAGCGGAGGAAAAGAAACCAACAGGGAUUGCCCUAGUAACGGCGAGUGAAGCGGCAACAGCUCAAAUUUGAAAUCUGGCGCAAGCCCGAGUUGUAAUUUGUAGAGGAUGCUUCUGGGCAGCGGCCGUUCUAAGUUCCUUGGAACAGGACGUCAUAGAGGGUGAGAAUCCCGUAUGUGACCGGCACGUACCCUUUACGUAGCUCCUUCGACGAGUCGAGUUGUUUGGGAAUGCAGCUCUAAAUGGGAGGUAAAUUCCUUCUAAAGCUAAAUACCGGCCAGAGACCGAUAGCGCACAAGUAGAGUGAUCGAAAGAUGAAAAGCACUUUGGAAAGAGAGUUAAAAAGCACGUGAAAUUGUUGAAAGGGAAGCGCUUACAACCAGACUUCGUGGCGGUGUUCCGCCGGUCUUCUGACCGGUCUACUCGCCGCCGCGAGGCCAGCAUCGUCUGGGGCCGCCGGAUAAGACCUUAGGAAUGUAGCUUGCCUCGGUAAGUGUUAUAGCCUAGGGUGAUGCGGCGUGCC